rnacentral:rRNA from 1 species
AUACGUAGGUGACAAGCGUUAUCCGGAUUUACUGGGCGUAAAGGGCGUGUAGGCGGUCUUGCAAGUCAGAAGUGAAAUUCCUGAGCUCAACUCGGGCGCUGCUUCUGAAACUGCAGGACUUGAGUGCUGGAGGGGAUAGCGGAAUUCCUAGUGGAGCGGUAAAAUGCGCAGAUAUAAGGAAGAACACCGGUUGUGAAGGCGUCGUUCUGGUUUGCAACUGACGCUGACGCGCGAUAGCGUGGAGUGCAAACGGUAUUAGAUACCCCUGUAGUCCUAGGCGAAAACGAUGCUCACUAUGUGUUGGUGGUACCGACGCCAUCAGUUCCGUAGCUAACACAUUAAGUUAUCCGCCUGGGGAGUACGGCCGCAAGGUUUAAACUCAAAUGAAUUGACGG